rnacentral:tRNA from 1 species
GUGAACAUGGUUUAAAGGUAGAACACUAUUACGUCAUAAUAGGUGGUGUCGGUUCGAGUCCGACUGUUCUCG